rnacentral:rRNA from 1 species
AGUGGCGAACGGGUGAGUAACACGUGGGUGACCUGCCCUGCACUUCGGGAUAAGCCUGGGAAACUGGGUCUAAUACCGGGUAGGACCGCACCGUGAGGGUGUGGUGGAAAGUUUUUUCGGUGUGGGAUGGGCCCGCGGCCUAUCAGCUUGUUGGUGGGGUAAUGGCCUACCAAGGCGGCGACGGGUAGCCGGCCUGAGAGGGUGGACGGCCACAUUGGGACUGAGACACGGCCCAGACUCCUACGGGAGGCAGCAGUGGGGAAUAUUGCACAAUGGGCGGAAGCCUGAUGCAGCGACGCCGCGUGGGGGAUGACGGCCUUCGGGUUGUAAACUCCUUUCACCAUCGACGAAGGGUUUCUGACGGUCAGAUCGGAGAAGAAGCACCGGCUAACUACGUGCCAGCAGCCGCGGUAAUACGUAGGGUGCGAGCGUUGUCCGGAAUUACUGGGCGUAAAGAGCUACGUAGGUGGUUCUGUCGCGUCGUCUGUGAAAUUCCGGGGCUUAACUCCGGGCGUGCAGGCGAUACGGGCAUAACUUGAGUACUGUAGGGGAGACUGGAAUUCCUGGUGUACGGUGAAAUGCGCAGAUAUCAGGAGGAACACCGGUGGCGAAGGCGGGUCUCUGGGCAGUAACUGACGCUGAGGAGCGAAAGCAUGGGGAGCGAACAGGAUUAGAUACCCUGGUAGUCCAUUCCGUAAACGGUGGGCGCCUAGGUUGGGUUUCCUUCCACGGGUAUCCGUGCCGU